AGAGAGAGAGAUGAAACAGUAGGUCCCAGCCAGGUCCCAGAAGAUGAGGGCUCAAGACAGCCCUCCUUUGCACAUGGAGGGGCUGUCAACUCCAAAAAAUUAAAGUGAGUUGGGUCAGGGACCUGACCAGUUCUCGGGUCAGUCCUUUUGCUGCCUCAUCACCACAUCAUUGGCUCCUUUGCUGCCUUUGCUCUCAGGACCCUCUUGAGAGAAGACAGAAUAACUAGAAUUGAGAUCCCAGCACAGAUGACUAGACCAAGCCUCUUCAUAAGGCUAAUUUAGGAAUCGUGUAAAGGAAUUUAUCUUCAGCAGAGCGACUAGCUCCAAGUCCUUCAAUAGCUAGAAUUCUUUCUUUCUCAGAUGAGACUUUCCUUCUGAAUUUUUUUUUUUUGACAGAUUAUACCCCCAGGGAAGCACGGACCACACACAUGUCCAGCCAAUGGACAGCUGUUGAGAAAAACUAUCAAGUUCUUUGUUCUGGGGCAGGAGACUCUCCGGACCCACUUUAUAUUGGGAGGAAAAAUCCUACAAGAUAAAAAGUCAUCGAAGAGGUCACUAAGCAAGUUUAGAAGUUGAGUCAGGCCUCGGGGCCCCACGACACCUACUCCUUUCUCAAUAUGAUGAGAUUUCUGGUGGAGGGGGGCGUGUGAGUCACCGCAGGAGAGAGAUCUGUAAGGGAAAAUGCGUCAAAGCUUAGGAGUAUUACUGUCUCUUUAAGGAGUCACACGUUGCCGAAACCUCCCUCUGGGCUUUCCGGAGCUCUGAGGUUUAAAAGAACUAGAGACUUCCUCAGUGCCCCAGCACAAAACAGCAUCCCCACUCACACUUGUGAAGAGAAAGCAGAACUCAGAUCCUUCUCAGAUCCAACCAACCAGGAGGAGGGCGCCCUGGCAGAGGACAGGCACCACAGCCACCUGGAGGUGGCUGAGCCCCUGUGUCCCAGCAGGCACCAUGAAGGUCUGCUCUCCCAUUCAAGUUUCUCCCACCCCAGCUGCAGGGGCGCCCCCAUUUCCUUCUCUGCACAAUGAAGGGGUUGGAAUCAAUGGGUGAUUUCCAAACUCUGCUUUGUGGACUAAAGACAUCAGAUACAGCUGAUCCAUAAAUCAGAAGCUCUGAGCACAGUACCCUUCAAAAUGAACAUUUUUUUGUUUUUGGUCUUUUUUUUUUUUUUUUUUUUUUUUUUUGCCAUUUUCUUGGGCCACUCUCACAGCAUAUGGAGGUUCCCAGGUUAGGGAUUGAAUCAGAGCUGUAGCCACAAGCCUACACCAGAGCCACAGCAACGCUGGAUCCAAGCCGCGUCUGCAACCUACACCACAGCUCACGGCAACACCGGAUCGUUAACCCACUGAGCAAGGGCAAGGAUCGAACCUGCAACCUCAUGGUUCCUAGUCAGGUUCGUUAACCACUGCGCCACGACGGGGACUCCCAAAAUGAACAUUUUUAAAGAAGACUCUAAGAAUUCUGAAAAACAGUCAGUUUGAGAGGCUCUGAACUACAUGAACUCAGACUUUUCAGAGCAGUCAGCAGAGAUGUUUGAAGAGCUCCAGAAUUAAGAAUCAUUGGUCAACCCAGAUUUCAGUGUGAGUGUACGUCCUUCUUAAAAAUUAGUUUAAAUGAUUUUAAGACUCAUUUCAAACCAUAUGGAAACUCCAGUGACUCACCCGAGAGUUCCGUGGAAUCCCCCUAGCUGACUUCUGCUUCAUUUUCUUCUUUCCCCCUAGCUGACUUCUUCAUUUUCUUCUUUCGCAAGGACAAGUUGCAUUAGCUACAUUCUUGUUCUUUGCUUUGAAUCUUGCAGCUGCUUCUUUGUUUCUGCUUGGGGGUCAGUUAAGGGAGUU
rnacentral:lncRNA from 1 species